GGUGCUUGCACCUGGUGGCGAGUGGCGAACGGGUGAGUAAUACAUCGGAACAUGUCCUGUAGUGGGGGAUAGCCCGGCGAAAGCCGGAUUAAUACCGCAUACGAUCCACGGAUGAAAGCGGAGGGACCUUCGGGCCUCGCGCUAUAGGGUUGGCCGAUGGCUGAUUAGCUAGUUGGUGGGGUAAAGGCCUACCAGGGCGACGAUCAGUACCUGGUCUGAGAGGUACGACCAGCCACACUGAGGACUGACACACGGCCCAGACUCCUACGGGAGGCAGCAGUGGGGAAUUUUGGACAAUGGGCUAAAUCCUGAUCCCCCACUGCCGCGUGUGAGA
rnacentral:rRNA from 1 species